UCCAGACUGAGGGGGUACUGCUAGGGGGCAGAACCCGAAUCUAGAAGGGCACAGGGGUCUGGGAGGGGCAUAGGGCCAGCUGCAGGUGAGACUCCGACCGGCAGAGGGUGCUCCAGGCGGAAAAGAGAUAAUUCCCUGGACAACAGGCAAAGGGCGCCAGCGGUGAGAUCCACCACUUGUCUUAGUGGGCAGGAUCAGUCAGAGGCGGGUGAGAAGGUCUUUGUUGUUGUGCCCUUUUGAGGACUCUUCCCAUCCGCCAUGGCAGAAGCAAGUAGCAAAUAUCUGAGGCAAAGAGAACAGCACCAGGCCUCCCUAGAGAUGACAGAAGGGGGCAGGAUCAAGGAUACCCCAAAUACUGCUUCAAUGGAGCCCAGCAAGAGCAGCAGCUUCCAUCUCUAUUGACAGUCAGCAGUGGGGAAGAAAAGAUUAUUACCAAGGAAAUGAUACACUGAAAUUCAAUGUCAAAGAUCUCAGUGAAGGCAAUCUUACAAGAUAAAAACAUAACAGAACUAUAGCCCUGCUUAAGCAUUUCAUCUCCAUUCAACAACUUCAAUGGGACCUAACCACAUGAUUAAAUGCUUCGCUGAUUUGGGCAUAUGCUCAGACUGAAAAAAACUAUGAAACCAAUUUCCAUCUUUGCUGUUUGACUCUCAUUGGGAGCUACUGAGCAAGCAAUGAUUCAGCAAAAUUCACACCCUCAU